ensembl:lncRNA
UGCCUGCAUUAAGCGUAAAGGACACCUUAUACCCUAUUGAUGAGUGCUUAACAGCAUCUCCAAUGUUGCUGUUUAAAGUUUGAUUUUAGAACUCAUAUCUUAACUGAUUUUAAGUUAUAUUUUUGCAUUAAAUGCUUUGUAUUGUAACUAAUAAGAGACUUUAUUGUUGCGACUGCCUGCCGUGAGACUUUACUUGUAACUACAAACUGAGCCUCAAACAAGAACAACCACAAGGGAGUCUUCUACGUCAUUCCUGAAGAACUUCAACCUGCGGACGGAUGGCUGCUUUUCACCAACCAACUUUCAGCUCUGUUGCCAUGUUUGGGCACAAAUCCCCAACUCAGGAAAAUAAACUUCUGCCUUGGUGAAAAAUAACGGAAUUAUACAACAGAGAUGCAACACAACAAUAUAAAUCACAUAUAACACCAUCCCAUAAAACGAGAAGAAGAAAACGAAGAUACCAAACUUUGAGUUCAUAUUACUUCACUGUUCCGACCAGGACACUUGACAUUGAGCAAAAACAGAAGUUAUUUUACAAAAAUCAGCAAACUGCAACAAAGCGAAAAGGUACGCACUAUCUACUCAUCUCCAAUCAACAUGUGAGCAGAAUAGGAUUGGAGAGAUGGAACAGGAGAAAAAGACAAGAGCUUUAAGGGGGAGUUGUAACAUUGCCA